AUUGCUUCUUGGUCUUUUGGCUAAGAUCAAGUGUAGUAUCUCUUCUUAUCAGAUAGGAAGUGGAGCAGCCAGAACUUGAAUCAGCACUCACA
ensembl:snRNA U2 U2 spliceosomal RNA